ACAACCGGCUGCCAUGGGAUUGGGUUAACAUAGUUAACAUUUUAAGCAACAUUCGAUAUUUGGCCAAAAUAUUUUUCUUACAAAAAUUUUGUUUCUUAAAACUUGUUUUCUGAGAAGUCUAUGUAGACUUUUCUGUGCCACUGUAUACACUCUAGAAGCACCUGUAUCCCAGUGCUCUAGCUCAAUCCGUAAAGAAAGUACCAUUUUGUACCUUUUAGUACCUUAGAAUAGGAUUUUCAAAAAAAAUCUAAUCGCCCAAUAAUUGUAUCACAAUUUUGAGAGCUUUAACCAAACCAUUUACAGAAAGUAGCAUUUAUACAUUUUAGUACCUAAAUGUACGAAUUACAAAACAAUUUUCUUGUCCCUGAUUCAUACUGCCAAGGUCUACCUGUAUCCCAAUUUUAAGAGCUGUAGUUCAAUCCGUGAAGUAAAUACAAUAUUGUACGUUUUAGUACGCAUAAGAGCUCUUACUCAAUCUGUAAAGAAAGUACCAAAUAGUACCAAUUACAGCACUUUAAGUACGCUUUCGGUACGAUCACAACAUUUUUUUAUUUGGCGCAACUUGUCGCAUUUUUGUGAAGAUAACAAUCAUUUUUCUAUCAAUCAAGUUCUAGCUGUCGCCGUUCGCUGUAGACGAAGAUGAGCUAUUUCGUACUAGUUCGCACUUUUUGGAUCCUAAAUAAACCAAUUUUAAAAAAAAAUAA